rnacentral:rRNA from 1 species
AACGAACGCUGGCGGCAGGCCUAACACAUGCAAGUCGAGCGAAGCCUUCGGGCUUAGCGGCGGACGGGUGAGUAACGCGUGGGAACGUGCCCUUUGGUACGGAAUAGCCCCGGGAAACUGGGAGUAAUACCGUAUGUGCCCUUCGGGGGAAAGAUUUAUCGCCAAAGGAUCGGCCCGCGUUGGAUUGGGUAGUUGGUGGGGUAAUGGCCUACCAAGCCGACGAUCCAUAGCUGGUUUGAGAGGAUGAUCAGCCACACUGGGACUGAGACACGGCACAGACUCCUACGGGAGGCAGCAGUGGGGAAUCUUAGACAAUGGGGGAAACCCUGAUCUAGCCAUGCCGCGUGAUCGAUGAAGGCCUUAGGGUUGUAAAGAUCUUCCAGUGGGGAAGAUAAUGACUGUACCCACAGAAGAAGCCCCGGCUAACUCCGUGCCAGCCGCCGCUGUAAGAC